ensembl:lncRNA
UUAUGCUUCAAAAUAAAACAAAUAAAAUUUAAAAGUAAGGUAUCGUAAACUAUUAAAUAAAGUGCUAUUGAGACAAAAAUAAAUAAAUAAAUAAAUAAAAUAAAGGAAAGAAAGAUAUAGUUGUCUUUUAUCAUGUGCUUUUGUGUUUAGUUUGUUCCACAGAUUGUAGAGACUUGUUGUCGUCUGGUGGAGGAGAUAGGUUUGGAACAUACUGGCAUCUACAGAGUGCCAGGGAACAAUGCCAAGGUGUCUUCCCUUCAGGACCAGCUCAACAAGGGCAUGGAUAUAGACACUACUGAGGAGAAAUGGCAAGACCUGAAUGUCAUCAGCAGUCUUCUGAAGUCCUUCUUCAGGAAACUCCCAGAGCCUCUUUUUACAGAUGAUGGAGCCUAUAAAUCUGGCCCUGGUGUUUGGUCCAACACUGGUGUGGACCUCAGAAGACAACAUGAUCGAAAAUGGUCCAAUAUUAAAAAAAAAAAAAAGAAAUCCAUCCUCAUUUUCACUCUCUGUGUAAAACAUUUAAUUUCAAAGGGGCAUUACCUCUUGCAGAAACUAAAGUAAAUGCCCACUGCUGUGGCUAACUUCAUCACACCAUAUCAAUGCCUCUUUUACAGCAGUUUGAGUGUCUGAUACUCGAGAUGGCAAACACUGUGAUAGAGCUGUAUAUGUUCUAGCUCAAGUCAGAUCCUGAGGCAGAAAAAAUUGAAACAACACAACCACCAAAGUGCCUUUAAGAGUAGUCAUUUCACUCAGUGGCCAUUUUUUAAAUGCCUCUCGGGGAUGCAAGUGCAGCUCCUAUCUCUAUGAAUGGGGAAACAUUAAAUUCUCCAAAACUGUUCUCCAAGUUUACGAUUAAAUAUCAGAUUUAAAAUCAUCAAUAGUGUUAGCUCCAAUAGCGUUAAAAAAGCUUUUAUUUUAACGGCAGCUGCAGAGCCAUGAUGACUUUACUGAUUAGUGAUUGGCUCUUUUACUCAGAAGGUGGGGCUUCCUUCGAUAGAGUGGCCAUAUUGAGCAUUGCAUUUUUCCCCAUUCAAAUCUACUGUAUAUGAGUGACACGUCUUGGGUAUUCUAUUAGGACCAUGUGAUGUCACAGUGCUGUAUCGCUGCCAUGUUUGUGUCCAAGUCACAGCAGCCACAACUACCAGAAGAAUUAAACACUCCUGGAAGGUUCCCAACAAGGUUACAAUAUGUUUGGGAUAUGUUGUGUUGUUAGAUGUAUAACAGUUGUCAGAGAAACCCGGAACUACAAUUUUAUUUGAUCCUAAAGGAGUUAGAUCGGCGGAAUAAAUGGUUAGCUUCGAUCA